UUGAAAAAAAAUAGUCAGGAAUUGUCAAUAAUAUUGAUAUUGUCUUCUUUAUAUAUAAGGACUGUACAUUGAUAUGGCAGAGGAAAAAGAGCUCAACUCAAUAAGCCUAAACUUGCUCCUCAGAAGGCUAUUACCACUCAACCAUUGCUAAACCCACAAGCUUCUCAUAGCAAAAGUCUCUGUCUGAUUCUUUCCAUAGCAGCAUUCAUCUUGUCAUUUGCCAUAAUCACAGACCCCUUUGUCAAAGACCAGCAAUUUUGCUAAUUCCCCUCUUGUUGCAUAUCUGUGGCAAGGCCCAAGAUCAGGCUUGAUGCCGAGCCAUGGUUCCGGAAAUUGUCCCCCAUGGCGCAGCCUCGUACAAGAGUGACAAGAAGUUGCUCCAAGCGUAUGCGAAAAUGAUGCCAAUCCACAGGAAACUACGCUAUAUAUGCCGCCAAGGAUGUGAGCCGCUGGGUUGAAUCAGCUUUGGCUGAUUGCGUGGAGUUGAUGGAAAUCUCUGUGGAUAGAUUGGAAAACUCCUUAAUAAGUCUUCAGGAACAGAAUAUCUCCAUACAUGACUAAGCAGUUCACUCGCAAAUUACGUCACCUGCUUGGACAGUUUGGGAGGAUCGUCGUCUGCUGAAUCUUCGGUCGAGCCUAUUCUCAGCGACCGGAUAUCCAGGGAAAGAACUCUGCUAGCCCUGUUUGUUUCUACUUCAUUUCUGAAGGAUGAAAAUCGGAUGCGUUGCAGUCCUUGAUUGACGAUUUCCCAUCAUUGCUCAUGGAAAAGAUCGUCGUCCCCUGCGAUCUCCAGCGAACGCCCUUGAGGCUGAUGUGGUGGUGGCAGCGAAGGAUGGAAGUGGGAAGUACAAGACAAGUGCAAGAGACAACGGCGGAUGCCCCUGACUCAACGCCCAAGACAUCUGCUGGGCUGCAGAAACACCAAGCGGUCACACUCCGCAUCGGCGUGGACAAGACUAGUCAUCAACUGGUGCCGCAUCGAACCCUACCAAGACAGCCUCUACACUCAUUCCAAUCGCCAAUUCUACCGAGACUGCUGCAUCAAGCACACGGUGGACUUCAUCUUCAGCAACUCAGCGGUCGUGUUGCAGAAUUGCAAGCUCAUGGCCCGGAAGCCCAAUGUGCAGUCAUUCCAACAAGAUCACGGGCCAGGGUCAGAUGAACCGAUACCAGAUCACAGGGAUCUCAAUUCAGAGCAGUGAUGUAAUCGCGAGCUCCGAUCUCAAGCCGGGAACGAGCAACCGGGUGAAGUGGCCGGGUUAUCAUGUCAUCAACAGCGCGGAGUAGGCAAAGAAGCUCACCGUGGCUGAGCUGAUCCAGGGAGGGUCCUGGUUUUAGUCCGCUGGGGUGGCUAACACUGAAGGGCUGUGAAAAAUGAGUUUUGGUCCUUUCUCUUUGGGGAGUUUUUGUGAGUCUGUAGUGAAUCCAAUGUCUGAACGUUUAGAGAUUUCAAUUUAUCGUAUGGUUCAUGAAGUAUGUGGAUUUGAGCUUACGUUCCAAGCAAAUUCAGGUUCACAUUCAUUAAAA